rnacentral:rRNA from 1 species
UAUAAGACUGGGAUAACUUCGGGAAACCGGGGCUAAUGCCGGAUAAUAUUUAGAACCGCAUGGUUCUAAAGUGAAAGAUGGUUUUACUAUCGCUUAUAGAUGGGCCCGCGCCGUAUUAGCUAGUUGGUGGGGUAAUGGCUUACCAAGGCAACGAUACGUAGCCGACCUGAGAGGGUGAUCGGCCACACUGGAACUGAGACACGGUCCAGACUCCUACGGGAGGCAGCAGUAGGGAAUCUUCCGCAAUGGGCGAAAGCCUGACGGAGCAACGCCGCGUGAGUGAUGAAGGUCUUCGGAUCGUAAAACUCUGUUAUUAGGGAAGAACAAAUGUGUAAGUAACUGUGCACGUCUUGACGGUACCUAAUCAGAAAGCCACGGCUAACUACGUGCCAGCAGCCGCGGUAAUACGUAGGUGGCAAGCGUUAUCCGGAAUUAUUGGGCGUAAAGCGCGCGUAGGCGGUUUCUUAAGUCUGAUGUGAAAGCCCACGGCUCAACCGUGGAGGGUCAUUGGAAACUGAGAAACUUGAGUGCAGAAGAGGAAAGUGGAAUUCCAUGUGUAGCGGUGAAAUGCGCAGAGAUAUGGAGGAACACCAGUGGCGAAGGCGACUUUCUGGUCUGUAACUGACGCUGAUGUGCGAAAGCGUGGGGAUCAAACAGGAUUAGAUACCCUGGUAGUCCACGCCGUAAACGAUGAGUGCUAAGUGUUAGGGGGUUUCCGCCCCUUAGUGCUGCAGCUAACGCAUUAAGCACUCCGCCUGGGGAGUGCGACCGCAAGGUUGAAACUCAGAG